rnacentral:rRNA from 1 species
GGAAUAUUGGACAAUGGGGGCAACCCUGAUCCAGCCAUGCCGCGUGUGUGAAGAAGGCCUUCGGGUUGUAAAGCACUUUCAGUAGGGAGGAAAGGUAAUAACUUAAUACGUUAUUACUGUGACGUUACCUACAGAAGAAGGACCGGCUAACUCCGUGCCAGCAGCCGCGGUAAUACGGAGGGUCCGAGCGUUAAUCGGAAUUACUGGGCGUAAAGCGUGCGCAGGCGGUUUGUUAAGCAAGAUGUGAAAGCCCCGGGCUCAACCUGGGAAUUGCAUUUUGAACUGGCGAACUAGAGUCUUGUAGAGGGGGGUAGAAUUCCAGGUGUAGCGGUGAAAUGCGUAGAGAUCUGGAGGAAUACCGGUGGCGAAGGCGGCCCCCUGGACAAAGACUGACGCUCAGGCACGAAAGCGUGGGGAGCAAACAGGAUUAGAUACCCCAG